UGUGAAUCGUCAGUGGGUAGCGUUCCUUCCGCCAUUUUGAUUUUUUUCUCCCUUGUAGGUGGCCGAAUUGAGCUGCGAGCCUUCCAUCCUCACGGCGCCGGGCAUCGUCCAGAUCAAUCACCACCCACUAAACUCGGAACAUGUCCGCCAGCAGGAACCUCAAGCAAGUGAGGAUCGAGAACAGCUCCCCGGCGGCAGCCCCUCCAAUGAGCAUGGUGGGCGGCGGCAGUAUGAAAGGGCUGCGGGGACUGGAGCAGCAGCCGCCGCCGCCACCUGAGAACGAAGCAGCGGCCAUGGGGAUGGUCAAGGAGGAAGAGGAGGCGAGCAGCGGCGGCUUCACCGUCGACAUCAAGAGCUUCCUCAAGCCCGGGGAGAAGAGCUACACGCAACGCUGCCGCCUCUUCGUGGGGAACCUGCCCACCGACAUCACCGAGGAAGACUUCAAGCGCCUUUUCGAGCGUUACGGGGAGCCCAGCGAGGUCUUCAUCAACCGAGACCGCGGCUUCGGCUUUAUUCGCCUGGAAUCACGGACUUUGGCUGAAAUUGCAAAGGCAGAACUUGAUGGAACUAUUUUGAAGAGCAGACCACUACGAAUUCGAUUUGCUACCCAUGGCGCUGCUUUAACAGUAAAGAAUCUUUCACCUGUUGUUUCCAAUGAGCUUCUGGAACAAGCUUUCUCUCAGUUUGGCCCUGUGGAGAGAGCUGUUGCUGUUGUAGACGACCGUGGCAGAGCGACUGGAAAAGGCUUUGUAGAAUUUGCUGCUAAACCUCCAGCUCGGAAAGCCCUAGAAAGAUGCAGUGAUGGAGCAUUUCUGCUAACAACAACUCCUCGACCUGUUAUUGUAGAACCUAUGGAACAAUUUGAUGAUGAAGAUGGGCUACCUGAGAAAUUAAUGCAAAAGACUCAACAGUAUCAUAAGGAAAGAGAGCAGCCACCACGUUUUGCCCAGCCUGGGACUUUUGAGUUUGAGUAUGCUUCUCGGUGGAAGGCACUUGAUGAAAUGGAAAAGCAACAGCGGGAGCAAGUUGAUAGAAACAUCAGAGAAGCAAAAGAGAAACUAGAGGCAGAAAUGGAAGCAGCUCGGCAUGAACAUCAGUUAAUGUUGAUGAGACAAGAUCUUAUGAGGCGUCAGGAAGAACUGAGACGUUUGGAAGAACUUCGAAAUCAGGAGCUACAGAAACGAAAGCAAAUACAAUUGAGACAUGAAGAAGAGCAUAGACGGCGUGAAGAAGAGAUGCUUCGCCAGAGAGAACAGGAAGAACUGAGGAGACAGCAGGAGGGAGGAUUUAAGCCAAAUUUCAUGGACAAUGAAACUAUUACAGUGCUGAUGCUGAAGUGCUGUUGAAGGCGUAUAGUCACCAGCAUGCUGUCCCAGGGAUAAAGCAGUGAAACACCUUGGAUCCAUUGCAGUUGCAGGUUGGAAGAGACCUAUUAAGAAAUUGAUUCAAUGUUUAUCUUGAAGAAGUGAUCAUGGAACUCUUCGCCGCAGAGUGUCUCGAUUGAUUGUAAACAGCCUGCUUAAUCAUACCAGGGGUCCAUUUCACACAGAGGUCAACAAUUUGCUCUGGUGAGCCAAACGAACAGGGCAUGGAGAGGCUGGGGCCCUCUGAUGCUCCCUCUCAGUGCCAGUAUUCAAAAGUUUGCUGCCUCAGAGGAGGGGGGCUCCCUUCAGUCAUCAUGGCUGGUAGCCAUUGAUGAACCUCUCCUCCAUGAAUCUGUCUGACCCACUUUUAAAGUUGUCUACGCUCAUGGCCAUCAACACCUCCCUUCAUAAUUCCGCCAUUUAUUUAGAGUAAAGAAAUACUUGUCCUGAACCUAUUUCCUAACAAUUCCAUUGGGUACCCCCAAAUUCUAGUUUUAUGAGAAAGGGAGAAAAAGCUUUCUCUGUCCAGUUUCUCCACACCUUGCAUAAUUUUAUAAACAGCUGCCACAACUGCAGUGUGUUCUAAAUGGGGCUGCACCAUGGAUCUAUACAGAGGUGUUAUAUUGGUCUUUUUAUUUUCAGUCCCCUUCCUAAUAAUUCCUAGAAAGCAGUUUGUCUUUUUCACAGCUGCUACACACUGCACUGACAUUUUCAUCCAGCUUUUCACUACAAGCCCAAGAUGUUUUAGUCUCAGCCAGUUCAGACUAUCAGCAUAUAUUUGAAAUUAGGAUUUUUUGUUUCAAUGUGCACUAUUUUAUAAUUAACCUACAUUGAACUUCAUUUGCCAGUUUCCUACUCACUCAAUUUAGAGAUAUCCUCCUGUAACAUUUAAUCUGCUUUGAUUUUCACUAGCCUGAAUAAUCUAGUAUUGUCUGCAAACGUGACUACAAUGUUCACCUUCUAUUCCCAAUUAUUUUUGAACAAAUUAAAUAGCACUGGCCCCAAUACGAAUCAUUGUAGGAGCCCAGCUGCUCACCUCCCUCCAUUACAAGAACUGUCCAUUUACUCCCACCCAUUUUGCCUGCUGUUAAUCGAUUAGAGGGCAAGUCUUUUUACCCGUAACUGCUAAAUUUGCAACUGAGAGAAAUCAGGUUUGGGCUGUGGUGUCACCAAUAUACAGAUGAUACCUUUCUUUUCCAUCUAAUUCCAAGGAUGCUGUUUAUAUUCUGAACCAGUGCUUGGAAUCAGUAAUGGGCUGACACACCACUCACUGUAGAAAGCCAGGUGGCUGCAGUGGUUCAGCCUACGUUUGCCCUAGCAUUAGGUGUCCCAUUCACUGCAGCCAUUUCUGCUUCAGUCAGCUCUAGCCAGUGAUCCAUGCCUUAGUUACAUCUCUGUUGGACUAUUGCAGUGCACUCUUACAGCUACCCUUAAAAAUGGCUCAGAAGUAGUACAGCUCUUUAUGUUCGUGGAGACUUUGAUGUUGCCCUUGAUUAUAAAGUGGUAACAUGCCUUAGAUAAUGUAGGGUGCUGCUGGAGUGGCCCAUUUUUGCAAUUAGUCACUGAAAAUAGUGCACGACUUGAUGACCAUUUUUUGUUUCCUACAUCUUUUCCUGCUUUUGAAAAUGGGUACCUCAUUAAAGUAUUUAACUUGC